AGCCCAAUGGCCGCGUGCUUUCACUGCAAGUCGAACGGUGAACACGGAGCUUGCUCUGUGGGAUCAGUGGCGAACGGGUGAGUAACACGUGAGCAACCUGCCCCUGACUCUGGGAUAAGCGCUGGAAACGGCGUCUAAUACUGGAUAUGUGACGUGAUCGCAUGGUCUGCGUCUGGAAAGAAUUUCGGUUGGGGAUGGGCUCGCGGCCUAUCAGCUUGUUGGUGAGGUAAUGGCUCACCAAGGCGUCGACGGGUAGCCGGCCUGAGAGGGUGACCGGCCACACUGGGACUGAGACACGGCCCAGACUCCUACGGGAGGCAGCAGUGGGGAAUAUUGCACAAUGGGCGCAAGCCUGAUGCAGCAACGCCGCGUGAGGGAUGACGGCCUUCGGGUUGUAAACCUCUUUUAGCAGGGAAGAAGCGAAAGUGACGGUACCUGCAGAAAAAGCGCCGGCUAACUACGUGCCAGCAGCCGCGGUAAUACGUAGGGCGCAAGCGUUAUCCGGAAUUAUUGGGCGUAAAGAGCUCGUAGGCGGUUUGUCGCGUCUGCUGUGAAAUCCGGAGGCUCAACCUCCGGCCUGCAGUGGGUACGGGCAGACUAGAGUGCGGUAGGGGAGAUUGGAAUUCCUGGUGUAGCGGUGGAAUGCGCAGAUAUCAGGAGGAACACCGAUGGCGAAGGCAGAUCUCUGGGCCGUAACUGACGCUGAGGAGCGAAAGGGUGGGGAGCAAACAGGCUUAGAUACCCUGGUAGUCCACCCCGUAAACGUUGGGAACUAGUUGUGGGGUCCAUUCCACGGAUUCCGUGACGCAGCUAACGCAUUAAGUUCCCCGCCUGGGGAGUACGGGCGCAAGGCUAAAACUCAAAGGAAUUGACGGGGACCCGCACAAGCGGCGGAGCAUGCGGAUUAAUUCGAUGCAACGCGAAGAACCUUACCAAGGCUUGACAUAUACGAGAACGGGGCCAGAAAUGGUCAACUCUUUGGACACUCGUAAACAGGUGUGCAUGGUUGUCGUCAGCUCGUGUCGUGAGAUGUUGGGUUAAGUCCGCACGAGCGCACCUCGUUCUAUGUGCAGCACGUAAUGGUGGGAACUCAUGGAAACUGCCGGGGUCAACUCGGAGGAAAGGUGGGGAUGACGUC
rnacentral:rRNA from 1 species